UUGAGCUGAGAAUAUAAAGAGGACGCUGAUAGCAGAAUUAAUUCACACUUGGAGCUUUAACCAGAGCUAGCAGCACCGGCGUUGUUAGCUCCAUUUUUUUUACCGCAUGCAUUUCAGGGGAAGAAAAUAAAAGAGGCUGACAAAUUGCCAUUCUGUUCAGGCUGCAAAAUAAUUUCCGAGUAAACACCAACCAUAGCAGACUGACUUUGACAAAAAAUUGGGAGAGCAAACCAUGGAUUUCAAUACGUGUUGUAGUUUGUGAGACCUGACAAGUGGAGAUCAGAGACACGUGAACAGAUCAACCCAUUUAAAUGAACACAUGACCUUUAAUGGAACUGAGCUUUCUAAUCCUUAGCUGACCUGCAGAGGACCGUUGUGGCACGAAUCAGGUGCAAUAAACUCAUCGUUUUGCUGUAUGAAGGAUACUAGUGAUAGCUUUCAAAGAUUAAAGUUCAAAAUGCAGUAAAAGUCUGAAAUUAUAAAGUUAUAUUUACACUAAUAUAUAUAUUAUGAACAAAUAAGUAAUUGCUCGCAAUUUCCACUCAUGUCAAUCUAGCAAGUAAUCUAU